UACGAAGGGGACUAGCGUUGUUCGGAAUCACUGGGCGUAAAGCGCACGUAGGCGGAUGUGUCAGUCAGGGGUGAAAUCCCGGGGCUCAACCUCGGAACUGCCUUUGAUACAGCACGUCUCGAGUCCGGAAGAGGUGGGUGGAAUUCCUAGUGUAGAGGUGAAAUUCGUAGAUAUUAGGAAGAACACCGGUGGCGAAGGCGGCCCACUGGUCCGGUACUGACGCUGAGGUGCGAAAGC
rnacentral:rRNA from 1 species